rnacentral:rRNA from 1 species
UACGUAGGGUGCGAGCGUUGUCCGGAUUUAUUGGGCGUAAAGAGCUCGUAGGUGGUCUGUUGCGUCGAUUGUGAAAACCCGGGGCUCAACUCCGGGCCUGCAGUCGAUACGGGCAGACUAGAGUUCGGCAGGGGAGACUGGAAUUCCUGGUGUAGCGGUGAAAUGCGCAGAUAUCAGGAGGAACACCGGUGGCGAAGGCGGGUCUCUGGGCCGAUACUGACACUGAGGAGCGAAAGCGUGGGGAGCGAACAGG